CGGAUUGCAGGCUGCAACUCGCCUGCAUGAAGUCGGAAUUGCUAGUAAUCGCGGAUCAGCAUGCCGCGGUGAAUACGUUCCCGGGCCUUGUACACACCGCCCGUCACACCAUGAGAGCCGGUAACACCCGAAGUCAGUAGUCUAACCGCAAGGGGGACGCUGCCGAAGGUGGGGCUGGUGAUUGGGGUGAAGUCGUAACAAGGUAGC
rnacentral:rRNA from 1 species